rnacentral:rRNA from 1 species
GGAUGCGAUCAUACCAGCACUAAUGCACCGGAUCCCAUCAAAACUACGCAGUUAAGCGUGCUUGGGCGAGAGUAGUACUAGGCUGGGUGACCUCCCGGAUAGUCCUCGUGUUGCAUCCC